rnacentral:rRNA from 1 species
UACAGAGGUCUCAAGCGUUUGUUCGGAUUCAUUGGGCGUAAAGGGUGUGUAGGUGGCGCGCUAAGUCGGGGUGUGAAAUUUCGGAGCUUAACUCCGAAACUGCAUUCGAUACUGGCGUGCUUGAGGACUGGAGAGGAGACUGGAAUUCAUGGUGUAGCAGUGAAAUGCGCAGAUAUCGGGAAGAACACCCGUGGCGAAGGCGGCUCACUGGCCCGGUACUGACGCUGAGGUGCGAAAGCGUGGGGAGCAAACAGGG